GACGAACGCUGGCGGCGUGCUUAACACAUGCAAGUCGAGCGGUAAGGCCCUUUCGGGGGUACACGAGCGGCGAACGGGUGAGUAACACGUGGGUGACCUGCCCUCAGCUCUGGGAUAAGCCUGGGAAACCGGGUCUAAUACCGGAUAUGACUCCAUGACGCAUGUUGUGGGGUGGAAAGCCUUGUGCGGCUGAGGAUGGGCCCGCGGCCUAUCAGCUUGUUGGUGGGGUGAUGGCCUACCAAGGCGACGAUCGGUAGCUGGUCUGAGAGGACGACCAGCCACACUGGGACUGAGACACGGCCCAGACUCCUACGGGAGGCAGCAGUGGGGAAUAUUGGACAAUGGGCGCAAGCCUGAUCCAGCGAUGCCGCGUGUGU
rnacentral:rRNA from 1 species